GAUCGUUGUGGUCCAAGUUGUAAUUUGAGCUAUUUUUCUGUUUUACAUGUAAAUAAAAGUGUGAAAUUUCCCCCUAAAUGAAAUUUUGGAUAAACACAGUAGUUUAAACUGGUGUUAAGCCAAGCUAGUGCCGGUAAGAUAACUUAGAGUAGGUAAAUAGCGUGCCAGCAACCGCGGUCAUACGCUAUUCUCAAGCUUAAAAACCUUUAUAAAACAAUUUUGGAACACUCUCAUUCAGACUCGGUUCACUAAUAGGGUAGAAUCUAAUAGAGGAUAUGAACUAAUGGUUUCCAAAAUAGUAGGAGGUACAAAUGACCAGGAUUAGAUACCCUGUUAAAGCCUCUAAAUCUGUUUUAGACUAGUAACUCUAGGUAAAAUUUAUUGGAUUUGGCGGCAAAAUAUCCUUUUAGAGGAACCUGCCCUAUUAACGAUGGUCCACGAUUUCCCUACUUUCCUUAGAAAUCAGUUUAUAUACCGCUGUUGUCAGUUAGUUUCUUUAGAAAUCUAUCUACAAUUUAAUCUAAAUUUACUUCAAGUAAAGGUGUAGCUUAUAGGAAAGAGAGAGGUGGGUUACAAUUAAUUGAAUAAUUACGGAUAAGUAAUCUAAAUUAGCUUUAAAGGAGGAUUUAAUAGUAAAACUUUAUUAUAAGUUUGAUUUGAGCAAUAUUUUGUGUACAAACCGCCCGUCGCUCUCUUUUUAUGAGAUAAGUCGUAACAAGGUGAGUGCAACGGAAGUUGUACUCGUUGGGAG
rnacentral:ncRNA from 1 species